AGAGUUUGAUCCUGGCUCAGAUUGAACGCUGGCGGCAUGCUUUACACAUGCAAGUCGAACGGUAACGCGGGGGCAACCCUGGCGACGAGUGGCGAACGGGUGAGUAAUACAUCGGAACAUGUCCUGGAGUGGGGGAUAGCUCGGCGAAAGCCGGAUUAAUACCGCAUACGCUCUGAGGAGGAAAGCGGGGGACCGAAAGGCCUCGCGCUGCGGGAGUGGCCGAUGUCGGAUUAGCUAGUUGGUGAGGUAAAGGCUCACCAAGGCGACGAUCCGUAGCUGGUCUGAGAGGAUGAUCAGCCACACUGGGACUGAGACACGGCCCAGACUCCUACGGGAGGCAGCAGUGGGGAAUUUUGGACAAUGGGGGCAACCCUGAUCCAGCCAUGCCGCGUGAGUGAAGAAGGCCUUCGGGUUGUAAAGCUCUUUCGGACGGAACGAAACGGUUGCGGUGAAUAUCCGCGACUAAUGACGGUACCGUAAGAAGAAGCACCGGCUAACUACGUGCCAGCAGCCGCGGUAAUAC
rnacentral:rRNA from 1 species